rnacentral:lncRNA from 1 species
AGCCCUGCUCACAAACCUGACACACAUGACGGCUCUUCAGUCAAAGAGCUUUCAUAUCCACACCUGGCUGCUCUGCCCUCUCCAAAGUCCACCAGACGUCUGUUUGACAAACACUCGGACAAGAAAGGCUUCUGCAAACCUCUGCACCUCUACAACCUUCUGAAGGAGGCCAUCCAGGGAGGAGUGCUGACUGGCAGUGAGAGGUACCUGGCCCUGGAACACU